rnacentral:misc_RNA from 1 species
UUUCCGUAGGUGAACCUGCGGAAGGAUCAUUACAGAGUUCAUGCCCUCACGGGUAGAUCUCCCACCCUUGAAUAUUUAUACCUUAGUUGCUUUGGCAGGCCGUGGAAACACCAUGGGCUCCGGCUUAUGCGUGCCUGCCAGAGGAAACAAACUCUGUUUUUAGUGAUGUCUGAGUACUAUAUAAUAGUUAAAACUUUCAACAACGGAUCUCUUGGUUCAG